UUCGUCUUCAAGAAUUGGGGUACUCAGCAAUUUAGGCGCUGGGCAAAAUAGAGUGUUCAAAGACACAAUGGCUACUAGAGUGAGGCACUGACUCAAAAGGCAUUUGAAAAAUUGGCAUUAUAAAAAGGAACAGUAAGAGCAUCAACUGUAGAUAAUGAGACAGCAUUUAGAAUUGGUGUUUUAUGUAAUUUUCUGAAAGAGAAAUGUCAAAGAUUUCUUAGUUGUUACACCUGGUAGGAAGAAGAAAGUAUACACUUUUAACUAAAAAAACCUAAUCAAUCUCAUCCUGGCAUUUUCCCCCUUAUUAGAGGUACUGAAUAUUUCUAGGAAAUCACAGGUAUACUUCAGAAUGUAUAUUCUAAAGAUGUAUAAUGUAGCAAGCUAUUCUGAAAUACUCAUUCUGCAUUAAUUGUUUUCAGAUUUCAAUAAUGGUCUGACUCGGACUACUCAAUGCCUGAUUCAGUGACAAACCACCCCAUUCAGUGAAAAAGGAUCAAGCCUCUAAAAAUAUAUUUUAAAAAUUAAAAACUACUUAUUUUUUAUUAUACCCUGAAAUGAAGAUGACUCCUUAUAGGAGUUUUAUCUUCCAUGGAUAAACUGAGUUAUGUAGUUGUAAUCCCUUCCUGGAACUGACUCAUUUAUAUCUCUCUGUUUGCUUAGGUACCAAGUCUCAUCUAAUAACUCAAGAGGCAUUAACUUUCUAAAACUACCUGUUUACUUGGUACAUGACCCCUCUGUAUUAUGAUAAACAAACAUGAAAUCAGAUGGAUUGAGGAAAGACUCACCGGUCUCUAUUGAAGUCUGCAGAGAAGAACGAUUCUGGAUACAUGAUUCCAGUAGGGGGGAAGGCGUCCUCUGGAUAAAGGAUCCUCUGCACCCAGCUGUACCCCAGGCAAGUGUAUUACAGCUAGCAACACUGAGUAAGCAGACACCAGAGGCUCCACAGGACAGAAUGGGGAAGAAGUUCCUUCUGAGAGCCCUGUUUAUGAAGAGACUGGAGAGCCAAGCACACCUGGUCUAGUCAAGCCAUUCCUUGUGAUGAAGUUGUUGCUGCUUGCUGCCAUCAGGGACACAACUGAGCAGUCCCACACCCUCUUGAGGGUGGUCUCAAAGAACCACAACCUCCAGAGGAGCCUUCAAACGGGGCUCAGAAAUCCCAAAGCCCUCUCCUCAUUGCCCUUCUCUCUCCUGCUAAACCGUACAUAGACCCAAAACAGGAUCCAACUCACUCUCCUUGGGGCACCUGGCACAUGUGCUCUUUUGCCCUUUUGUUGUUUGUGCAGUGUCUGCCAUGAGGUAUUGUCACUUGCACAACUGAAGAGUAGGCAACCCAUCCCCUCACCUUUCCCCCGAGAUACAAGAGGUAGGACAAUGCUCCAUCACUUGGGUAAACAGUGCCAGACAGAGCUGGUUAGAGCAGCCUUUCAUCCUGGCAACACUUUUAGCUCUGGGGUUUGCAUACAUGCCCCUAAAACUGAAUUUCUCUCAGAACUGUUAUGUCAGAAAUCUCCAAAGUGUUUUGAUUAGCUCGUUCUGGGAGAUUUCAGCUUCACAUGGUCUUCUUCUCUGCAGUGGACAUAUUUGGAGCCAAUUUCUGGUGCUUAGUUUCAUAAUCGCUAGCACUUCCGAGACUUCUCAGAUGGGUGGCUGACAAGAAGCUACCUGGUUACAUGAGUUUUAACACAUCUCUCAGCGAACUCUGAGACCCAAAUGCAACAUCUGCUAGAACAUGCACGGAUGUCAUGUGGAUUUAUGAUAUUUGCUUGAGGAUUCUGGAGCCAUAAACCAAUGAAUGGAUUACAAUGAGAUAAAUACAGUAUUUUCUUCUGUCAAAGGCAAUUUUGUCCUGAUACUUUUCAAUGCAUUAUUUAAUUGAAAGCAGUUUCCAUUUUGCUCAACCUAGCAAGUUGAAAGUUUAAAAGAUAAGCCACAUUUCUUUGUUUGAAUAUACUGUC
ensembl:lncRNA